rnacentral:rRNA from 1 species
AUUGAACGCUGGCGGAAUGCUUUACACAUGCAAGUCGAACGGCAGCACGGGGGCAACCCUGGUGGCGAGUGGCGAACGGGUGAGUAAUACAUCGGAACGUGCCCAGUCGUGGGGGAUAACGUAGCGAAAGCUACGCUAAUACCGCAUACGAUCUACGGAUGAAAGCGGGGGAUCGCAAGACCUCGCGCGAUUGGAGCGGCCGAUGGCAGAUUAGGUAGUUGGUGGGGUAAAGGCUCACCAAGCCUUCGAUCUGUAGCUGGUCUGAGAGGACGACCAGCCACACUGGGACUGAGACACGGCCCAGACUCCUACGGGAGCAGCAGUGGGGAAUUUUGGACAAUGGGCGAAAGCCUGAUCCAGCCAUUCCGCGUGCAGGAUGAAGGCCCUCGGGUUGUAAACUGCUUUUGUACGGAACGAAACGGCCUUUUCUAAUACAGAGGGCUAAUGACGGUACCGUAAGAAUAAGCACCGGCUAACUACGUGCCAGCAGCCGCGGUAAAGUAGU